AGGCGAGACAAGGCAGGUGGCAAGUACCACCAUCAAGGGAAGCCCAAGGGUUGCUCCCCGCCCCCCAGCAGGCCCCGACAGGCCUGAGGGUGCAGGAAGGCAUCCUUGGGCUGAGGCACGCCUGACCCUGGGCCCUGGAGGAAGAGCCGGAGCCAGCCAGGAAAGGAGGAGAGCAGAUCCUUAGGCAGAACAACACGUGCAAAGGUCCGGAGGUGAGACACAGCCGGCAGAGGUCUGGGAACGGCUGGAUUGUGGAAGGGAGGGUGGAGAGAGAUGAGGCCCGAGGUGAACUCAGGGGGGCCUUUUCAACCAGGCUGAGGAGUUCCAGCUCCAUCUAGAGAGCUGGAGGGGCCCCGGGAAGGGUUUAAAGUAUUCUGAUGCUCUGAGGUUGAGAGUGAAGGACGAGGCCGGGGUGGAGGCAGAGACGGUUCAGAGGCUGCGGCAGUGAUCCAGGCAGAAGAGACACAGGGACUGAAUCAGGGGAACUUUGAGUCCCUUCUCAGCCACCUACCAGGCGGGGGAACUUAGGCGAGUAAUUCACUUCGUCCCGGCUGCAUUUCCUCAUUCCGAAGUCGCAAUAAUAGUGACGCCCAGUUCCCAAGGGAGCAAGAUUUAAUAGGGAUUGAAAGAGGGACUAUACCAUACUGAUAUAAAUAAAUAAUUGGGUAAAUAAACAAUCGGGAGAGAAAGGACGGCUCUUCCGUACACCAGAAUGCCAAUUAGGACUGUAGCAGGAAAGAAGGCAAUGGAAAAGUCGUCAUUAGACAAACAGCCCAGUCAUAAUUGUUGCAAAUGAUAUCCUCCGAUGGCUGCUAAAAUUAAUGGACAAAAGUUUGAAGAGAAACAGGAUGUGUCUCAUCUCAAAGUAUCACUCCCCAGAUGCUUAUUAGCUAAUGAAAGAAAGAUGACAGUAACCGUACAGGCAGAAACCUGGCCGGCGCGCUGCAGCCACGGGAACAGGCUGAAGCAAUAAGACACACCCUCACGAUGCGCCGAGAAGGACACAGUGCUGCUUCUGUGAUAUGCCUGCCCGAAAUGCACAGCCUCACUCCAGUCAUGGGAAAACACUGGACAAAUCCAAAUCGGGGGCAGUUCGACAAAACAACUGAUCAGUACUCUUCAAAAAGUGUCGAGGUUAUGAAAGAGGAACUGUCAGCCACUAGAGGAGAAUGAGGCAAAAUGACCGCUGAAAGCAAUGUGGAUCCUGGACAGGGUCCUGCACCCGGAAGAGGACGGUAGCAGAAAGUCAAGUGAAAUUUGAGGAAGAUCUGUAGUUUACUUAAUGACUGGCCCUGAGCUAACAUCCAUGUCCAUCUUCCUCUACUUUAUAUGUGGGACGCCUGCCACAGCAUGGCUCGACAAGCAGUGCCAUGUCUGCACCCGGGAUCCGAACCAGUGAACCCCAGGCCACCGAAGCGGAACGUGCGCAGUUAACCGCUGCACCACUUGGCCAGCCCCUAAAACGCUUUAGUUUAAAAUAAAAAGUUUUGGCGUUUUUUUUUUUUAAUGACUAUUUCAGUGGUUCUUAGCGUCGGGGACACAUUUGAAUCACUUAGAGAUUUUUAAUGCCAGUGCCCAGGGUCCUCCUGGACCAACCGGAUCAGCAUCUCCAGGAGAGGGGCCCAGGCAGGGGUCUUUAGAAGUCCCCAGGCGAUGCCGGUGGCAGCCCCAGGUGAAGGGUGAGCUAUUUGUAAACCACUUCACCCACAGUAGGCCUUCAAUAAAUCAUCAUUCCCCCACAUCAAUGUGUUGGUUCAUCAAUCGACACCUUGGUGCAUUCACUAAAUACUGUUGAGUACCUACUAUGUGCAAGACACAGCAGAAGGGCAGCGAUGGACAAGAAAGACAAGAUCCUUAUAUUCUAGUGGCGGAGACAGACAAUAAAUGGUAUUAUUACACAUGCAAAGGGGCUUUAAAGGAAAUAAGUUCAUAUGAUAGGGAGUAACUGCAGGGGUGGGGCUGCAACCCUGAGGAGGUGACAUUUAAAAUGGAAUGAUGAGCAGGAAGGAGCCCGGAGAAGAGAAGGGGAUGAAGCAGCACUUGAUACAAAAGAGGACAGCAUGUGCCAGAGUCCUGAGGCAGCCCUGCAGCUACUGGGAGUGAGGGAACAUGGGAGGGGGGUCACGAUGAGGAGUCUGGGUUUCAUCUUAUGUGCGAUGGAAAAACUUCUGUGAGGGUUUAAGCACAGCAUGGUUGGGGGAUGUUCUUCGUUCUCAUUUAGGAUUUUCAAAGAUCUCUGGAAAACAAAGAGAUCGCUCAGGUUGCCAGAUGGAGAAUGAUUAGUGGGCUCGAAGGAGCCUCCCAGCUCUGUCUGGAGAGACACGAUGGUGGCUCGGACCAGAGAGGCAGCAACAGACAAAUGAAACCAGCCUCUGUGCUGAGCCGAGGCUUGGGGUGAGCAGCUCCCUGGCGCCCAGCUCUCCUCACCAGCUGCUGUGCCGGGC
rnacentral:lncRNA from 1 species